GGUAGCUCCCAGGAAGCAGAGAGAGGGGAAACAAGAAGCUAACUGAUUUGUGCUGCAGAUUGUUGCUGAAUUCCCCCACCCCACUCCCUGUGUUCCUAACAACUCCUCCCUCUUCAGUAGUGAUCCUUCACUCAGUGAUCCUUUACUCAGUGAUCCUUCACUCAUGGGGAGGAACAGCUUCUGCUGUUAUGGCUGAAGGAAAGGAUUUGUCUUGUACAUCCAGCACAAUGUUGGAGAAGGCGAUGGCACCCCACUCCAGUACUCUUUCUUGGGAAAUCCCAUGGAUGGAGGAGCCUGGUGGGCUGCAGUCCAUGGCUUCACGAAGAGUCGGACAUGACUGAAGCAACUUAGCAGCAGCAGCAGCCAGCACAAUAUUGAAUAGCAAUGAUGAAAGUGGUCAUUCUUGACUUGUUCCUGAUUUUAGGGAGAAAGUUUUCAGUCUUUAACCAUUGAAUAGCGAUGAGUUUUUACAUAUGCUCUUUAUUACUUUAGCAAAGCUUUUUCUAGUCCUAGUUUUCUGACACUUUUAUCAUGGAGGCAUAAUUUUGUCAAAAGUUUUUUCUUUUUUCAUUGAGAUGAUCAUGUGUUUCCCUCCUCAUUUUAUUAAUCUAAUAUAUUACAUUGAUUAAUUUUUUAUG
ensembl:lncRNA